rnacentral:rRNA from 1 species
UACAGGGGGCUCGAGCGUUAGUCGGAAUCACUGGGCUUAAAGGGUGCGUAGGCGGUCCGCCAAGUGCUUUGUGAAAUCCCACAGCUCAACUGUGGAACAGCAGGGCAAACUGGAGGACUUGAGGCAGGUAGGGGCCGGAAGAACAGUUGGUGGAGCGGUGAAAUGCGUAGAUAUCAACUGGAAUGCCGAUGGGGAAGCCGUCCAGCUGGGCCUGUCCUGACGCUGAGGCACGAAAGCGUGGGGAGCAAACAGG